AUUUUUAUAUGCCCGAAAGAAUUUCGGGCAUAUUAUGUUAUACCCCCUGGCGUCCGUCCGUCCGUCCGUCUGUCUAUCCGUCCGUCCGUCUGUCCGUCCGUCCGUUAGCAAUUUGGUUUCCGGAGCAUAUCUUAAGUUCCAUUUGGCCCACAACAUUCAAACUUCAUAGGAUGAUUGUCCAUUUUGGGUAGAAGACCCCUAUUGAUUUUGGGGACACGAGGUCAAAGGUCAAGGUCACUAUGACCUUAAAACUGAAAACAGUUUCCGGAGCAUAACUUAAGUUCCAUUUAGCCCACAGUGUUCAAACUUCAUAGGAUGAUUGUCCAUAUUGGGUAGAAGACCCCUAUUGAUUUUGGGGUCACAAGGUCAAAGUCACUAUUACUUUAAAACUGAAAACAGUUUCCAGAGCAUAACUUAAGGUCUAUUUGUCCCACAAUAUUCAAACUUCAGAGGAUGAUUGUCCAUAUUGGGUAGAACACCCCUAUUGAUUUUGGGGUCACAAUGUCAAAGGUCAAGGUCACUAUUACUUUAAAACUGAAAUUUUUUUCCAGAACAUAACUUAAUUUCUAUUUGGCCCAUAGUGUUGAAACUUCAUAGGAUGAUUGUCCAUAUUGGGUACAACACCCCUAUUGAUUUUGGGGUCACAGGGUCAAAGUUCAAGGCAGCUAUUACCUCAAAACUAAAAACAGUUUCCAGAGCAUAACUGAAGUUCCAUUUGGCCCACAAUAUUCAAACUUUAUAUAAGGAUUGCUAUUUGAAGGAGGUAAUACUUUAUUUAAUUUAUGUAAUGUCUUACAAAUGCUUCAUCCUUAGUAAAGAAAAAAAAACACUUUCGGGCAUAUAAUGCUCCGCCUAGCGGUGCUCUUGUU